rnacentral:rRNA from 1 species
CCUACGGGUGGCAGCAGUCGAGAAUCAUUCACAAUGGGGGAAACCCUGAUGGUGCGACGCCGCGUGGGGGAAUGAAGGUCUUCGGAUUGUAAACCCCUGUCAUGUGGGAGCAAAUUAAAAAGAUAGUACCACAAGAGGAAGAGACGGCUAACUCUGUGCCAGCAGCCGCGGUAAUACAGAGGUCUCAAGCGUUGUUCGGAAUCACUGGGCGUAAAGCGUGCGUAGGCUGUUUCGAAAGUCGUGUGUGAAAGGCGCGGGCUCAACCCGCGGACGGCACAUGAUACUGCGAGACUAGAGUAAUGGAGGGGGAACCGGAAGUCUCGGUGUAGCAGUGAAAUGCGUAGAUAUCGAGAGGAACACUCGUGGCGAAGGCGGGUUCCUGGACAUUAACUGACGCUGAGGCACGAAGGCCAGGGGAGCGAAAAGGAUUAGAUACCCCUGUAGUC